rnacentral:rRNA from 1 species
GGCUUCGGCCUUAGUGGCGCACGGGUGCGUAACGCGUGGGAAUCUGCCCAAAGGUUCGGAAUAACUCAGGGAAACUCGAGCUAAUACCGGAUGAUGUCGCAAGACCAAAGAUUUAUCGCCUUUGGAUGAGCCCGCGUAGGACUAGCUUGUUGGUGGGGUAAUGGCCCACCAAUGCGACGAUCCUUAGCUGGUCUGAGAGGAUGAUCAGCCACACUGGGACUGAGACACGGCCCAGACUCCUACGGGAGGCAGCAGUGGGGAAUAUUGGACAAUGGGCGAAAGCCUGAUCCAGCAAUGCCGCGUGAGUGAUGAAGGCCUUAGGGUUGUAAAGCUCUUUUACCCGGGAUGAUAAUGACAGUACCGGGAGAAUAAGCUCCGGCUAACUCCGUGCCAGCAGCCGCGGUAAUACGGAGGGAGCUAGCGUUGUUCGGAAUUACUGGGCGUAAAGCGCACGUAGGCGGCUACUCAAGUCGGGGGUGAAAGCCCGGGGCUCAACCCCGGAACUGCCCUCGAACUAGGUAGCUAGAAUCUUGGAGAGGCGAGUGGAAUUCCGAGUGUU